GACGAACGCUGGCGGCGUGCUUAACACAUGCAAGUCGAACGGAAAGGCCCUGCUUUUGUGGGGUGCUCGAGUGGCGAACGGGUGCGUAACACGUGAGUAACCUGCCCUUGACUUUGGGAUAACUUCAGGAAACUGGGGCUAAUACCGGAUAGGAGCUCCUGCUGCAUGGUGGGGGUUGGAAAGUUUCGGCGGUUGGGGAUGGACUCGCGGCUUAUCAGCUUGUUGGUGGGGUAGUGGCUUACCAAGGCUUUGACGGGUAGCCGGCCUGAGAGGGUGAACGGCCACAUUGGGACUGAGAUACGGCCCAGACUCCUACGGGAGGCAGCAGUGGGGAAUAUUGCACAAUGGGCGGAAUCCUGAUGCAGCAACGCCGCGUGCGGGAUGACGGCCUUCGGGUUGUAAACCGCUUUCGCCUGUGACGAAGCGUGAGUGACGGUAAUGGGUAAAGAAGCACCGGCUAACUACGUG
rnacentral:rRNA from 1 species